rnacentral:lncRNA from 1 species
CUCCACGCAAGGGCAGAGAGAGAGUGGAAGGAGCCGGCAGCGCUGCUUUUGUUGGCUCUUCUGGACGGGAAGAAGGAAAACUGCUACAGAAUAAAACCCAGAACAAGAACAGCACCAAGGGGAGCUGUGUGCAAGAAAUUCCUUCAGGGUGCAGCAUGCUCCAGUAAUGACCAACAAGCUUGCAACUCUUACCUGCAAGGACGGGUGAACGCAGAUGCCUGGCUAGAUGUGGACUUAGGACAAGGCCAGGGAAGGGACCGUCCACGCCGGCUGCCUGGGGAAGGCUGGGUCCUGAGGUGUGCUCCAAAGCAAGAAAGCUCUCUUCGCUGUUCACUGUCAGUCAAAAACAAGUUGGUGCAAGUUGGAGUAGGAUUUACCUGAAGGAGCUGAAGAGAGGGAGAAGGAGACUGGGGGAGAUUGGGCGAAGGGAGGGAG